rnacentral:rRNA from 1 species
AUAUUNUCAUGGCGAGAUCUGAACANCCAAUAGCGUGCANGAUGACGCCCCUAUGGGUUGUAAACUGCUUUUAUGGNNGGGAUAAAGUGNGGAACGUGUCCCUUUUUGUAGGUACCGCANGAAUAAGGACCGGCUAAUUCCGUGCCAGCAGCCGCGUUAAUACGGAAGGUCCGGGCGUUAUCCGGAUUUANUGGGUUUAAAGGGAGCGCAGGCUGANNAUUAAGCGUGACGUGAAAUGUACCCGCUCAACGGCUGAACUGCGUCGCGAACUGGCAUUNUUGAGUGAGUNCGACGUUNGCGGAAUUCGUGGUGUAGCGGUGAAAUGCUUAGAUAUCACGAAGAACCCCGAUUGCGAAGGCAGCCGACGAGUCCUUUACUGACGCUAAAGCUCGAAGGUGCGGGUAUCGAACAGGAUUAGAUACCCUGGUAGUCCGCACGGUAAACGAUGGAUGCCCGCUGUUNGCGAUAUAAUGUNAGCGGCCAAGNGAAAUCGUUAAGCAUCCCACCUGGGGAGUACGCCGGCAACUGGNANG